rnacentral:rRNA from 1 species
UACGUAGGUGGCAAGCGUUGUCCGGAAUUAUUGGGCGUAAAGCGCGCGCAGGCGGUCCUUUAAGUCUGAUGCGAAAGCCCACGGCUCAACCGUGGAGGGUCAUUGGAAACUGGCGAACUGGAGUGCGGCAGAGGGGGGUGGAAUUCCGCGUGUAGCAGUGAAAUGCGUAGAGAUGCGGAGGAACACCGAUGGCGAAGGCAGCCCCCUGGGCUAGCACUGACGCUCAGGCACGAAAGCGUGGGGAGCAAACAGG